AGUGAUUAGAGUGUACCCUACAAAAAGACGCAUUUAAAAAUGUUAGAUGUGACUUUGACCAUCUGAUCAAAAAUAACAAACAAAUCAAGACCCAAGCUAGAAGAAAACUAGUCUUUAGAGUUUGGAAAAUCUUAACCUCGGCUAUUUGUUAAGGUUUUUUGUCUAUGAUAUGAAUAUUUUUUUAAAGUUGAAAAUCUGGUUUUUUUUUUUUUUUUUUUUGUGUUAAAUAGGAAAGGAGCCUGUAUAAGGCACGUGGAGUAAAAAUUUCACUUUCCAGAAUUAAAACGAUUCAACGAUGUUGCGGUUUGCAGUUUGAAGUAGCUCAGCUUCAAGCGUAGGCUUGAAGGCUGAAGCUCACUUGCACUACUGACACAUCGUCUCUCCCUUUUUGAGCCACUGAGCUGAAAUUUCAAACUUCCUAUGUUUUGUAAUGGAGGGUAUUAUCUACAUCAUCAAACUAGAGUUGCUGCGAUCUGUUCCUGAUUUGUCCAUUUCCAUAUUAUCUAACUUCUCUCCAGCUUAUUCUAAUUGUAACUCUAUUGCUUAGUUAACUCCGAGUUUCAUUGAAGCAUCGAACGUUAUUGCCCAUUGCAACAGACCCAUCUCUACUGCUGAAGCUUUUUGUGUUUCUUAGUUCAUCUUUUAGUGUAUUUUUUCUGAAUGAUUACUAUUUAUGUAUACAUUUUUGUUGGUAAAUCAUGAACUUGUGAGUGCCCAAUUUGUUAUUUUGAUGCUGAUUAAUUUCUCUAAAUCGAAAACUCCUUAUUACAAUAUUGUUGAUCAGCCUGAUAAUAGGUAAGGUAGAUGUAAAAAUAUGGACUUGGCUGAUUUGUAAAAGGUUUACUUUCAUGUGCUAUAUAAAUCCCUUGUUUAAAUUGACACCAAAAGAAACUCUUGUAAAGUUGAAAACUUGAUGCUGAAUGCAGAAACCGAGGACCACAACAACUAGGGAAGGCUCCAUUGAAAUGGGAGAGUACAACAAUCCCGAAUAUGUUGGAGUUAGUGAAGCAAAUUCCCCUAGGGUAAAUGACUUCAAGAAAGUCUCAGUCCUCCCCCUUGUCUUCAUCAUCUUUUAUGAGGUAUCUGGCGGUCCAAUUGGUGUUGAGGAAAGUGUCCAGGAAAAUGUACAAGGAAAUAAGACUAUCUCACACGGAUUUUAGUGAAAACAAACUAUUAGUCACGCUACAUUCACAAGAUCUCUUCUUUAUCCCUCUGCAAAUUAAUAUAAGAAUUCAUUCUCUCUCUCUCUGUGAAGCAUGGAAGGUUCAUCGGAUAGUGUCCAAGAUGGAAGAGAGCAACACGACGGUGCUAGUGACGGCAACUCCGUAGCUCCGUCUUCUGAUACCUCACGGUCAACAGAGUCUACUCAUAGACAUCAUCAUCAUCAAGUCCAGGUAUGGUAUAUAUUGGCUUCAAUACAUAUAUAACAUUAUUGGUCGUUGUUCAUUAUUAAAGAUAUUAUUAAAGAUACGGUCUUUGCUGUGUGGAUUGAAAGGAAUGAAAAGGUAGCACAAAGAAAUUUAAGGGUGGUUUGGUCAAAUCAACACAUGGGGUGUGUGGUUUGUGAAAACGGGUGUGAAAAUUUCAGUACCCUAUCUAUAUCAUCAAACAAGAGUUGCUGCAAUCUGUUCCUGGUUUGUCCAUUUCCAUAUUAUCUAACUUCUCUCCAGCUUAUUCUAAUUGUAACUCUAUUGCUUAGUUAACUCCUAGUUUCAUUGAAGCAUCGAACUUUAUUGCCCAUUGCAACAGACCUAUCUCUACUGCUGAAGCUUUCUGUUUUUAUUAGUGUCUAACAAUUAGUUCAUCUUUUAGUGUAUUUUUUCUGAAUGAUUACUAUUUAUGUAUACAUUUUUGUUGGUGAAUCAUGAAAUUGUGAGUGCCCAAUUUGUUAUUUUCAUGCUGAUUAAUUUCUUUCUCUAAAUCGAAAACCCCUUAUUUACAAUAUUGCUGAUCAGCCUGAUCAUAGGUUAGGUAGAUGUAAAAAUAUGGACUUUGCUGGUUUGUAAGAAUAGGUUUACUUUGAGGUGCUAUAUAAAUGCCUUGUUUAAAUUGACACCAAAAGAAAACCCUUGUAAAAUUGAAAACUUGAUGCUGAAUGCAGGAACCGAGGACCACAACAACUAUGGAAGGCUUUAUUGAAAUGGGAGAGUACAACGAUCCCCAAUAUGUUAGAGUUGGUGAAGCAAGUUCCCCUAGGGUAAAUGACUUCAAGAAAGUCUCAGUCCUCCCCCUUGUCUUCCUCAUCUUCUAUGAGGUAUCUGGCGGUCCAAUUGGUGUUGAGGACAUUGUCAGGGCUGCCGGUCCCCUUCUAGCACUAAUCGGAUUCUUGGUGUUUCCAUUCAUUUGGAGUGUUCCUGAGGCCUUGAUUACUGCAGAGAUGGGUACCAUGUUCCCUGUGAAUGGGGGUUAUGUGGUUUGGGUUUCUUCAGCCCUGGGUCCAUAUUGGGGGUUCCAAGUAGGAUGGGUGAAAUGGUUAAGUGGAGUCAUUGAUAAUGCUUUGUACCCUGUUCUGUUUUUGGACUACUUGAAGUCAGCCAUACCAGCUUUAGGCUAUGGAGUUCCAAGAAUCGAAGCAGUGGUAGCUUUGACAUUGCUUCUCACUUACUUAAACUAUAGGGGUUUAACCAUUGUCGGAUGGGUUGCUAUAUUUUUAGGGAUUUUCUCGUUCAUUCCUUUUGUGGUUAUGGGACUUGUGGCAAUUCCUAAGUUGAAGCCUUCAAGAUGGUUAGUGGUGAGUCUACACAAUGUGAACUGGAAUUUGUAUUUGAACACUCUCUUUUGGAAUUUGAACUAUUGGGAUUCGAUAAGUACAAUUGCUGGAGAGGUAGAGAACCCAAAGAAGACUCUCCCCAGGGCUCUCUUUUAUGCUUUUUAUUUGGUUGUUGUUGCAUAUUUCUUCCCCCUUUUAAUUGGUACUGGCGCUGUUCAACUUGAUCCUGAGUUGUGGACUGAUGGCUACUUCUCUGAUAUUGCAAAAAUUGUUGGGGGAGUUUGGUUGAGAUGGUGGAUCCAAGGGGCUGCAGCCAUGUCAAAUAUGGGGAUGUUUGUGGCUGAAAUGAGUAGCGACUCUUUCCAACUUCUAGGGAUGGCAGAAAGAGGGAUGCUGCCUGAGUGUUUUGGUAAGCGGUCUCGUUAUGGAACCCCAGUCAUUGGCAUUUUGUUCUCAGCUUCUGGAGUCCUUUUGUUAUCUUGGCUAAGCUUUCUAGAGAUUGUAGCUGCAGAAAACUUCUUGUACUGUGUUGGAAUGAUUUUGGAGUUCAUAGCAUUUAUACGAUUACGAAUGAAAUACCCAGCUGCGUCUCGGCCUUACAAGAUUCCUAUUGGAACAGUUGGAGCUGUUCUUUUGUGCACCCCACCAACCCUACUAAUUGGAGUAGUGUUGGCUCUUUCUAAGCGCAAGGUUGUUGUUGUGAGCCUUAUUGCUUUAGUGAUUGGCCUUGUGAUGCAGCCCUGUCUCAAAUAUGUUGAGAGAAAGAGGUGGAUGAAGUUCUCCAUCAAGCUCUGAUCUCCCAGAUCUUCAGGGUGCUAAUCAGGAGAGUGCCAACUCCUUAACAGAUUAGUAAGCUCACAACAUUGCCAACUCCUUAACAGAUUAGUAAGCUCUCAAAAUGUUGUGUUACAGUAUAUUUAGUGGAUAGCAAUAUGUUGUGCAACAGCUUUGAUAUUGAUAGAUCAGCACCAUAAAUUGCCUAGCGAAAACUGUGAAGUUUCUACAAACAGAAUAAAUUGUAAAUUUAGUUUCUGUAGCAUAUUUGGAUCCAACUUUUGUUUAUGACUAGUCAGCAACUCGCGCGCUGCCGCGGUUACUUUGUUGUUGUUAACGUAGUAGAACAAAUAUGGAAUAGGUUAACAUUGCAUUAAAAUUAUGUGUUGCAUAUUACAUUGAUUAAGAAGGGUAUAGAUGUGUUGUCCACAUAAACGGACUUGAAGAAAAUAGAAUUGGACUGUUCCUCUGGACUUUUAUUGCAACUGCACUUUGGUCUAUCAUGCAACUGUGCUGUUCCUCUGGCUCUUCAGUGAACUUGAACUUGAGAUGUGCAUGUCAACACCUGAUACAGCAAAGAAUAUCAUUUACUGGUGCAGAGUUCUCAGAAGCAAAUUUUUUUAUAAAAAAAAAAAAAAAAAAAAAAAAUAUCUACCAGUUACUAUACGACUUUAACCAGUAGGCAUCCUUUCUACAUUUUUACACAAACUUUAAAAAAAAAAAAAAAAAAAAAAAAAAAAAAUAACAAAUCGUGUGAAGCGACUAUUGUUGAAGGCACGGGCAUGAUACAUACUACUUCAGACAACUCUUUUCUUAUUAUAUUAAGAUUCAGUGAUAAAAGGCAUUGGUCUGCCUAUUUCUAACACUGAUUUGUUUCCAUAUUCCCUUAAAUGCAGUGAACUCAAAUUCAGCAGGCAAUUGAACUGAAAACACAUGAAAUCGAAUCACUCACUCACCUUCUAACUCUGGGCUACAGAGUUUUUCUUCCUUCAAUUACAGGCCAAAGAUGUUUCCUGAACCGGUACAGAAGACGCAAACGAUUGCACAGGCUUAAAACUUUAAUUUGCCUUAGGAUAAAACAAUCACAUCAAUAGAAAUUAAAAAUAAAAUAACAGCAAUUCAAAUCCAUUAAGAAACAAUAUGAUUAUAAUGAUGCAUAAUGGUACUAAAGUACUAAAGUAGCCUCACUAUAUUAGUUAAGUUCCAAACAGUUUGAGGAUCAAGAAAUGCUUGGUAACUGGAUAAAUCUUUGGCUUUGUAAGUAAUCAGAGAUCUAUGUUAAAUUCCUCAUUAAAGGUUUAAGCCGUGUUCAAAUUUUUUCUAUGUGUUCCCGUGUAAGUAAGCUGAUGUCUUAUUCUUUAACACAAAUUUAACUUCUUUCUAUCAAACCUGGGAAAAGUGAGGGCCAUGCAGAGUUGUUAUCCACAUAUUUGAUCAUAAUAAUUGACUAUUUCAGUGUUGAGAAAAAGAAACUAACAAAAUUCCAGACCUCUGAUGGUAGGUGUGAAGGGCCAAGCCAGAGUUCAUCUAAUACAAUAGAUUAACAGAAUAAGAAUAGAUAUUUUGGACAUUUCUUGAUAAAGGGCUUUGCUUUGUAUAUUUAAGGGCUCCAUAUACAUAUUUGGUGAAUAUUUACAAAUACCAAAUAAAGACUUGUGUUAUUCAAACAAAUAAGACCAAGGCAAGAACAAUCAUUAUACAUGAUAUCAGAAAGUGGAUAAUAUGAGAAAGUAAUACCUACUUGAAAACAUCUAGGUAACCUUGUACACAAAAAUAAUCAUUCUCUAUGGAGUCCCAGAUGUCCUGCAUAUACAGAAGGUAUUUGAAAUAAAUUUCUUACACAAAAUAAGUUUCAGCAACUAACCUUCAUAAAAGUAAUAGUGGCAGAUGAUUCUCACAACAUGCUUGCAGAAAUAAAUAAAAAAAUACAAUACGAACAUUAGNNNNNNNNNNNNNNNNNNNNGGUAAAAAAGUGAAAACUAAUUCAGUUGAACUGAGAAGGUAAAAGGAAAGCAAAACACAACUGAACUAAUAUAUCAGUACACAAAACUCAAUUCGAACUCCAGUUUUGUACAAAAAUGAAUAGUAGAAAGAGCACUGAAUUCAAUUCAAGAAGAAUAUACCAAGUGUGUAAGAACCCAUAUAUCAACACAUUCAAAUUGAGGAGCUAUACCUUUAAUCACCAAAAAGAUUGUCAACAUUCAGAUUGCCUUUCCACUAAACUCCAGAGCUGCACAUUAAUCACCAAAAAGAAUUUGAAGCACAUUUAACAGCACACCGUAAUAUUUUAUUUAACCUUUAAAAUACUAAAUACAAAAGAUACAAAAACGUAUGAACCUUAAAAUCAAAAACCCAAUGCUUUUAAGUCCUCUUGCUGAGACCGAACCCCGAAAACAUUGAUACCCUAUACAAAUGAAAGGAAUAAAAUACAAAACUGAUACACCAAUAUUGAGCAUGAAGACCAUGACCAAGUUGAUAAUUGCAUCUUCCAUAUUUCAUCAAAUAAAGUAUUUCAAGUAAACAAUUUUGAUUAAAAUCCGAAAAAUUCAAAUUCAAGAGUAUAUGAGUCUGAUAUAAAAGAAGAAUUCUGUAAACACAACAUCAAGUGAUCAAACUAUGAAAAAACAAUAACCAAGCAGUUUGAAGUUACACAAACAAACACGAAUGCAAACCCGACCAAAAAUGAACGUUAAUCUACUCUCCCCAAUUUCAACAAACCUUAUAUACAACAUUUCCACUAUCUUGUGAUAUACUUUAAAAUUUCCCAUUUCAAAGUCCUAUGAGAAAACAGUAACAAAGCAAUUUGAAUUUCCACCAUCUUUCUUCUUUUUUUAAUAAAAAACAUCCCAAAUUUCCUCAGAACCCAAAUACAGAAAUAGCAAAGCCAAAUACUGAAAAUACUGAAAUUCCUAUACAUACAAAUACUAAGUGAAAUAGAANNNNNNNNNNNNNNNNNNNNCUGAAAUUCCUAUACAUACAAAUACUAAGUGAAAUAGAAGCUUCUCAUAGAGAGAGGGGCAGAAACAUCAAUUGAUCGAAUCAGGAACUCACCUGAAGUUGAAUUUCUGGAAGACGAAAAGUUUGGCGUAAAUUCCAACCCUGAUUAUGACCGAUGCUCCUCCUCCUCACAUCAAAAACCCAAAAACCCAGAACCACCUCCCUUGUCCUUGCUGAUGACAAACCCAAUAUUACACCUUAAACCCCUGCAUCAUUGAAACCCCAAAUCAUUGACAUACAAAGAUUGAAAGUAAACUCAAGAAACUCUUUCAGAAAACCCAGCAAAUAAAUCCUAAAUCGAAGAAAAGCAAACAUGAUCACGACAUGCACAAAGUAAAUUACCCAAAUUCGUGAAACCAGAAUGCAAAGGAAGAGGGGGAUUGAGAAAAAGACCCGAUCUAAAUCGAAAUCUACCAAAUUUAAGGAUCCGAAACUCAUAUGCCCACAAAAUAAUUGCAUGUAUCAACAUUUUUCUCUCAGUUUAUCCACAAUCAAUGAGUUGCUGAUCUUCGAUCACCAAAAAAAACAACAUGCAACUGCCGAUCUUGGCAUGCACAUCUUCUACAGGUAGAUCGGAAGAGAGAAGUAGAGAGAAACCGAGAAGAAACAAAAUGGAAAAACGGCGAAUGCUUAGAUGUUGAAUAUUCAGUUUAUUUCUUUCUUAUAAUUUUGUUACAAGUUCAAGGGUAGGUUGGUUGUUCCUAUUCAAUACAUUGGUAUUGAUUCCACGCACAACUUUCGCUAUUCAAUAUAUUCAUACGUAACAAGAACAAAACGCAUCCAGAAGUUAACGCUUAAACAUAAUCGACUCCAGGAGGACACGAAGAUAAUAGGGUAAAAACACUGAGGCCAAUCCCAACAGUGUAAGCAGUAUGUCUCGCGUCCCGAGAUCAUGUACAUGCCUAGAAUGCAAAAUUUCCACCCAAGUACUUGGGAGGAGAAACAAUAUCCUAUACAAAGAAGAUGACGCAUAUCAAAUAUAAUCAGGAAGAGAUGGCAAAUCUCGACUUUAACCAAUUAUUGUUUUUAUGUUUUCCAGGAUAACCGGAAGGCGCAAUGCACUUGUAAGAAAGGGUUCCAUGGUCGACGGGAGGAACAGUCACUGGUUAUCUGCAACAACUUCCACUUUCAACUCAUGGAAGCACGGCCCUGACUUCUUUCCUAUCAGGUCCAUAUGACUGCAGUCAAAAGAGUACAAAAUAAUCGUUAUCAGUAUAACAACAACAGUUGCAAAUUGAGAUUAGUGGAGAGUAGAUAUGAACUUAAGCUGCAAUUGCAGCCUGCAAGGACCAUAUAUACAUUCAGAAAGUAAGAAAAGUCUUUUCAACUAAACUUUCAAACUAUAACUUAAGAGGCAAAGAAAAGGGGCCAAGUAAUAGUUUAUAAAUGCUAAUACAUGAAAGUCAGUGAGAACCAAAUUCCAAAAGUUGAAUAGAUCAGGUCAUGGAUUUAUACACAAGACUACAGAAACACUUAUUUUGACACCCACUAUGUUAUAAACUGAACUCCACAUAACGAAAUGACUAAUGCAUAUUCAUUCUUGAUCAUUGUAUUUUUGUUAAAGUCUAUUAAUGGAACUGAAUAACAGAGUCACUCUCCCUGGGUGUAAAAUCAACUAGAGAUUGGCAAACAUAAGAUGAUCAAGAUUCUUUUAUAGUUUCACAUUAAUAUUGCCAAAGACACAAGCAACUUAUAAUAAGACAGAGACCUAUCAGGGGUAGCAACAUAUAAUCACAAAUGUGACAGUAAGCUUCAUUUGUGAAAAGAGGCAUUCUCAACUAAGAUCUAUAAGCUUCAUUUGCUGCUCAUGGUGAAUACUAUAGAAUAAGGUGUAUGGCUGUGAGUAUGUCUGGUUGAGGGAGAUAAAUAUUACCUCGAGUCCACAAUCUUUCACGUAAAUAUUUGUGAAAAGUUCAAAGGGUUCUGGCAUUGGGCUUUCCUGGAAACAUAACAAAACCGAAUAUCAGAAAUGUGGGUGAACAGUAUAUGAUCAUGAAAGACAGUUGCAUCCAUAUCAGAAAGGAACUACUAAAAUUAGAAGAAUAUCAAGUUUCGUACUUUGGCCUUAGCAAUGGCUUCAUCAACUUCUUUUCUUGCUUCCUUCUCAAUAUCCUGAAAGAACAGAAAUUUAGAAGAACGUAUUCAGUUUUCACAAGUAAAUCAAUUGAAUUCCAGCAUCAUUCCCAUUUUAACAUUUCCUUUCCGGCAUGUAAGCUGGGAUCAAUACCCCCGCAAGAUAAGAAAUGAGGACAAAACCAACUGUUCUAAAGAACUCGACCUUGAUAUUGGAACCAGGCAUACCAAAAUGGAAUUCAAAGUUUAAUAUAUAAUCCAGCCAGAUUGAAUAUAAAAUAGUAAAAAAUACCUUCAGCUCCUUCUCAGUCGCUAUAUCAUGAGCAAAUAUCAGCUUUCUUAUUCUUUCAAUUGGAUCACGCUCCUAAAAUCACAUCACCAGGUAAAAUAAGAGAAGAUACAUAUUUGAAGGUGUGGAUAUAAUCCCCUUAACUAAGUAAUCAAAAAGCUGCAUCAGUAAAAUCAAACCUGUCUCACGCCAGAUAUCUCAUCACGUGUACGGUAGGUGCUCCCAGGAUCAGACAUGGAGUGACCGUGGUACCUGUAAGUGUCCAUUUCAAGAAUCUGAAAGCACAAAAACAGAAAAAGUUUGUCAGAUUAUACAUGAAAAUUAACAGUAGACUAUCAUUUUUCACAUAAAAACUUCAAAAAAGUUUUUAAGUGUUGUCAAUGCCUCAAUCAACUAACAACUUGCUGGUUUUGAACCAACAAUAUUGGAAUGAUUUUGUCUGAACCAAACUCACACAGAACCUGACAACUUUUAAGUGAGCAUGCCAAGAAGAUGUCUGAUCUAUUUACUGCUAAAAUAUUAGGACUUGUCAACUUCUAAAUUGUAUUUGCUAACUUCCUGAACACUCCCAAAAUUUUCAUUUUAAGAACAUGGGAAAAAAAUUUCCAACACAUAUGGUGUAAAACUUCAACCAAACAUUCUACACCCACUGCAUUUCCAGUAUUUCUCUUUUACUCGUGUAAAAUUUCAGGAGUUUUGAUGAAGCAGAAAUGCUAGUCAGUUCAUUUUAGCUAUAAUGUUACAUGCCCUUUGCAGACUCUAACAUCAUACUGGAGUGACUAAGUGAGGGGCUCUCACACCAAAAGUCAUUUAACCAACCUACGAGUACAUCAGGUUUCAAUAUACGUGUGAUCAAACUACGUUGUGUGGCGUUAAUACUAAAGGCAACUUAUGUAAGCAAUAAUUUGACCAAAGAACUUGAAACACUUUGUCAGAGUAACAAAUGAAACUCACAAUGGGUCCAUUCUUCAAAGCAUGCUCCUUUGCAAACUUGCAUGCCUGUUUCACAGCAAACACAUCCAUACCAUCUACCUGUUCCAAAGUAGAAAAUUGUUCACAAAACACAUUAGCAAAAAGAACAAAACUACUCCUAAGAGAUUAAACUCCUUAUCAGCUAAAAUAUUCUACCCGUUGCCACAGUAAAAUUACUUCAGCACACUCCUGAUCAUAAUUUGAACUUGACAAACGCGCCAUACUUUUACUUAAAACAACACGUAUCAUUUAUAAAAGUAGCUAAAAACUUCAGGACACGAAUUAAGCAGUGUUCAACUGACCUUCAAGCCAGGAACAUAGUCUCCACGCUUGUAAUAAGCCGGACUCUUAGCAGCUCUCCACUCAGCCGUUCCCAUUCCAUCUGCGUAAAACCAAUUCAAAUCAGUAAACCUAUCAUUUCCGAAAGCAAUGCAUCUAAAAAAAAUCACACAAACCAAUCAAACUGAUCACACUUACAGUGAUUAUUCUCACAGACCAAAAUCGCAGGCAAAUCCCAAAGCGCAGAGAUAUUAAGCGCCUCGAAAAGCUGCCCCUGGUUAGCAGCACCGUCUCCGUAGAGCGCAAACGUCACCGUUUCGUCCUUGGAGUACUUCUGCCCAAAAGCCAAGCCACAUCCGAGCGGCACCUGAGCUCCGACGAUGCCGUGGCCGCCGUAAAACCCGGACUCCUUCUUGUAAAAAUGCAUGGAUCCUCCUUUUCCUUUGGAGCAGCCGCCCUGGCGUCCCAUGAGCUCGGAGAAGACCUCCAGUAGGGUUCCGCCGCGGCCGAGGAAGGUGCAGUGGUCGCGGUAGGCGGUGAUGAUGCAGUCCUUCUUGGUAAUUGCGGCCUCCAUGCCGAUGGCGACGGCCUCCUGGCCGUCGUAGAGGUGGCAGAAGCCGCGGAUGAGCUUGGCCUUGUAGAGCGAGUCGGCGGCGAUCUCCAUGCGGCGCAUGAGGGCCAUGUCGCGGAAGAAUUUCAUGAGCUCGGCGGCGGAGGUCUCGACGGUGCGGGAGGGGACGUCGCAGACGUGGGAGGUGAAGGGGAGGGAGGUCUCGAUGGUGAUCGGGGAGGUGGAGUCGGAGGAGAGGGAGCGGCGGAGGGAGAGGGCGGAGGCGAGGGGUUUGAGGAGGCUGGAUCCGGAGGAGGAGGAGGAGAGGCGGGAGAGAGCCAUGGUGGCGGGAUUGGAUCGGCUCUGGGAGAGAGUGAGAUCCGGUGGAGGAGGGUUUGGUGAAGAAGGAGUGAGGGGGUUUGGUGAGAGAGAUAGAAGCGAAAUGGGGGGUAUCAAAAUCUUUAAAAUAUUAACAUUUUGUGAUGGGUCUUCUUUGGCUUACUGGUGUCAUUAGGUGACGGGCUGAUUUUUUGGACUUUACAAGUUUACAGUAUUUUCUACUUCUUGGGCCAUUUACCAUAUAUUGCAAAUUACCUUCAUUUUCAAGAUUGUCAUUUCCACGUUAAGUAAUCUUUAUGCUGAUGUCCGAUGUCUUCGACUCGUUUAGUGGUUUUUGUGUAGUUGAGUGUGCUUUUUAAUUUCGUCUGUUAAAUGCUCAGAUACUAUGUUAUAAUGUAUCGAUAGAGCAUUUCAGAUGCGACUAGUGAUUAUAAGACUUUUGAGAGAGGAAAAAACAAGAAAAAACAAAUAUAAGGGUUGUAAGUGCAGACGUUUGACUAAAAUAGAUCCCCUUACUGGUGUUUAAUGGGGCAUCCAAGUGUUUGGUGGGAGUAAGCAAAGAUGUGCUGCGUGUUGUUUGGUAUUAUAUUGCCAAGGGGCGCUAACACAGCCCACCCUUUUUGUUUUAUACUGCCAAUUGCAAAACAGACACAUCAUGCCCUUUAGUUAUUUGGCCUUUUGGUAUUGGUCCUCUAAUUAAAAGAUUUAUGUACAAAAUGCUAUGUUUUUAUAUUUUUGAUUGAAUGCUAUGUGUUUGUAUGGAAAACUGGAAAAGGGUAUAUAAUGCUAAUCGGUAUAAAUUGAUUUGGAACCAUCAGAAAAAGAGUAACGUGGGUUCAUAUAACAGUGUCUAGACCCUAGCAUAAUAAUAAUGAAGUCUGUCCAGAUGUAGUAUUUUUUUUUUUAAGGGAAUGAAGAACUUUAUUGAUUAAACAUCAUUAUAAUCCUGAGAGAGUAACAUCUCCACGUUCGGAAGAAUAAUGGUAAAAAAAAUUAUCAUAAUGAACAACCAACUUGACUUCUCUAGCUAUAGUAUGUGCUACCAUGUUACAUUCUCUCAUGACAUGACAAAGAAUGGCGAAAUCAGCUUGUUGUAGUAGUUGUUUCAGAUCUGAUAUCAAUAAACCUAAAUCAGAAUGGUCCAGGGAAUUACUUGUGACUGCAUACACUAACUCUUGACAAUCAGUUUGCACAAAUCAACGGCACUAGGUGAUCUGAUAAGGCAUAUUUCUAACAUUUAAUCAGGAAUUCUGCAUGCCGUAUAAAAGCUGCAUGAGGUAAAAAAUGCCGAAAACCCUUUAGAAAGGUUCUAUUAGCAGCCCGAAAAACACGUCCAAAUGUAGCAAUUGGUUCAACUAAAUAUAGUGAUUAUAGUCCAUACGUCAUUUCCAUUUAUGUAACAAAUACUUUUGGAAAUCAAAGGCUACAUUACUUGAAUACGCAGAGCUUCAAACAGCUCGUAAUCGAAGAGAUCAACCUUGAGGCGGUGGGACCACUGUACAGUUCAGGCAUUGUUCACUUGGUAAUAAGGCCCAUAAACCUUGAGGCCCAUUUAUUAGUGGAUAGCUGCCGUUUACGGCAAGCCGUAUGAGAGAUUUUUUUCCAAUCUCAAAUUAUGGCGUAUGAUUCUCCCAGACGAUAAAUACGGACUGAACAAGAUUUUGCCCAAAAAUCUCUCCCGCCAUGGACACACUCUCUAUCCUCUCACCCUCUCCCACCUUCUUCUUCACGCGCCUCCUCUCUCUCAAACCCUCACCUCCUCCCUUUCUUCACCACCUCACCCAAACCCUAGCCUUCUCCUCCCCCAAGCCACCACCGCCACCUCUUCCCCCUAAUCUACUCCGAUUCCGAGUCACUUUCCAGUCCCCUAGCUCCGCCUUCGCCGCGAAAUCUCAGCUCUCCGACGCCGACGACGAUGAGGAGGAAGACGAGUUCGAGGAGGAGGACGACGACGAAGAAGACGUCGCGGCCGACGAGUACGACGACAUUUCCGGCGAAAUCUCCGACGACGGCCUCGAACAAAGCGACGAUGAAAUUGACAUGGAGUCGUCUCCGGCGAUUCGAAGCGAGGAAUUCAGGUGGCAGAGAGUGGAGAAGCUCUGCGAGGACGUCAAGCAGUUCGGCGAGGAAAUGAUCGACGACGGCGCGCUUGCUUCUAUCUACGAUUUCCGAAUCGAUAAGUUUCAGGUGGUGUUUUGAUUUAGACUACUCACAUUUUCUGAUUUCUCUGUAUCAAUUUGUGUAUCAUGUACUGAUUUUGAGGUGUUGAUUUUGGAUAGAGAUUAGCUAUACAAGCAUUCUUGAGAGGCUCAUCAGUAGUUGUGUCAGCGCCGACGAGUAGCGGAAAGACUUUGAUAGCGGAAGCUGCUGCUGUAGCUACUGUAGCUAAAGGAAGGAGAUUGUUCUACACAACUCCGCUUAAGGCCUUGUCGAAUCAGAAGUUUCGCGAAUUUCGGUAUGUGAAUGAGUGUUAGUUGCUCUUUUAUCAGUUUAUGACCUGUUGGUUUGGCAAUGUAGGUGAUGUGCUCAUACGUCAGUAGCUAAGUUGAAUUUUAGCUGAUUUGUUGUUGUGAUUUCAGUGAAACUUUUGGUGAGGACAAUGUUGGCCUUCUCACGGGGGAUUCGGCAAUAAACAAAGAGGCUCAGGUUCUGAUCAUGACCACAGAGAUUUUGCGCAACAUGUUGUAUCAGAGGUAUGUUUAGGUUUUGCAGAACAACUUUCUAUUCCAUCUCUUCAGAACUAGUGUAGAUAUUCAUGAUGUUAGCUUUCCAAUUCAGCGACUGAGUUUGUUGUUGGAGUAAAGGAAAAUUCACCUUAGUUUUCAUAGUGCAGUGUUGGAAUGGCUUCUGCGCGGGACUCACUAUUUCACGUGGAUGUAAUAGUCUUGGAUGAAGUUCAUUAUCUAAGUGACAUAUCUCGCGGUACAGUGUGGGAAGAAAUUGUAAGUGCAUUUUGCCAUCAUGCCUCUUUUAUUAGUGUUAUCAUGCCAAUAAUGUCAUCAGAGUAGUAAUAUUAGUGUUAUCAAAUAUUCCAGGUUAUUUAUUCCCCAAAAGAGGUUCAACUCAUAUGUUUGUCCGCAACAGUUGCUAAUCCAGAUGAAUUGGCUGGUUGGAUUGGUCAGGUACUUAGGCCUUACAUGGUGACUUUGUUUUUUCCUCAUUUGUUCAAUUUUACAUUUUUCUUCACAUUUGAUUGUUAGGACUUGCAAGAGUUAAUUGAAUUUUCCCUUCAUCCUGUUUCUAGAUUCAUGGUAAAACUGAAUUGGUAACUUCAACAAAGCGUCCAGUACCACUGACUUGGCAUUUCUCGAUGAAGACUUCUUUAUUACCACUUCUUGAUAAAUCUGGAAAACACAUGAAUAGGUAUUUUUCUUGUUCCUUUUUUCCCCACUAGUUUUUGCUGUUGAGCUGCUGUCUUAACAGAUGAUCAAAAUGGUUAAAGCCAGUAGUUUGAUCUUAUUUCAUUAUGAAAUAAUUUGUACUGACUUUAUUUCCCAGUACUUCUUUCCUUUGAAAAUAGGGGAACAUCAAAUGAUAUUAACAUUUUUUGUAAAUGAACAGGAGGUUGUCAGUCAAUUAUCUGCAACUCAGUGCUCCUGCACCAAAAUCUAAUAAAGAUGAUGGAUCGAGAAGGAGGAAUUCAAGAAGACGGACUAGUGAGACUAGCUAUGAUGACAGUACUGGUAACAUGUCUAGACGACCACUUUCAAAGAAUGACAUCAACUUAAUAUACCGUUCACAAGUAUGAUUUCUGCAUCAAUCUUUUGAGACACGACACAGACACAUUACACGAAUUGCUUUCUUUGUCCUUGGAAAACUAAAUUAGUUAGGUUUUAUUAUGUUUCUACCUGUGAUAUCAAUGUUCCUGCAAUUAUUGACCAAUCGAUCUGAUCAUACUGUUUUAUUUGCCAUUCUUAUAGGUGCCUCAAGUUACUGAUACAUUAUGGCACCUUAAGGCUAGGGAUAUGCUACCAGCAGUAUGGUUUAUUUUUAGCAGGAAAGGUUGUGAUGCCGCCGUUCAGUAUGUUCAAGAUUGCAACCUUUUGGAUGACUGUGAAGCAAGUGAGGUUGAAUUAGCGUUGAAGAGGUUCCGCCUAAAGUAUCCGGAUGCUAUCAGGGAGAGUUCAGUAAAGGGGUUACUGCGAGGGGUUGCUGCCCAUCAUGCGGGCUGUCUACCUUUAUGGAAAUCAUUCAUAGAAGAGCUGUUUCAGCGUGGUCUUGUUAAGGUUGUAUUUGCUACAGAAACACUUGCUGCGGGAAUCAAUAUGCCUGCUAGAACAGCCAUUAUUGCAUCCCUCAGCAAAAGGAGUGACAGUGGACGUACCCUAUUGAGCUCAAAUGAACUACUUCAAAUGGCUGGGCGUGCUGGACGUAGAGGCACGGAUGACAGGGGUCAUGUAGUGCUUAUUCAAAAUCCUUACGAGGGUGCUGAAGCUGGUUGCAAGAUUCUUUUUGCCGGACUUGAACCUUUGGUAUCACAGUUUACUGCUUCAUAUGGAAUGGUGCUAAAUCUUCUUGCCGGUUCAAAAGUUACUCGUAGGUCAAAUGAAUCAGAUGAAACAAAAGCCUCCCAAUCUGGGCGAACUUUGGACGAAGCUAGAAAGCUAGUUGAACAAAGUUUUGGAAACUAUGUUGGGAGCAAUGUUAUGCUUGCUGCAAAAGAGGAGAUUGCUAGAAUCGAGAAAGAAAUAGAGAUGCUGACUUUGGAAAUUAGUGAUGAUGCCAUUGACAGAAAAAGCAGGAAGCUCUUGUCUGGACCAGCAUACAAGGAGAUUGCGAAUCUACAGGAAGAAUUAAGGGCAGAGAAACGCCUAAGGACUGAACUUCGAAAAAGAAUGGAAUCUCAGAAGCUUUCUUCACUACGGCCCUUAUUAGAGGAAUGCGAAAAUGGGCAGUUACCCUUUUUGUGCUUGCAGUAUAAAGAUUCAGAAGGAGUUCAACACUCUAUCCCAGCUGUUUAUUUGGGGAAGGUUGAGUCACUAAGUGGCUCAAAACUUAAGAACAUGGUUUCUGUGGAUGACUCUUUUGCACUAACCCCAGUAGCAGUAGAGUCUGAACCAACUUCAGUUUUUGAACCAUCGUAUUAUGCCGCUCUUGGCUCAGAUAACUCUUGGUACCUAUUUACAGAAAAGUGGAUCAAAACAAUUUAUAAGACAGGCUUUCCAAAUGUUGCCUUAGCUCUAGGAGAUGCUUUGCCUCGGGAAAUAAUGAGCAUGCUUCUUGAUAGAACCGAAAUGAAGUGGGAGAAGCUUGCCGAGUCUGAUCUUGGUGGUUUUUGGGGCAUGGAAGGAUCUCUUGAGACGUGGUCUUGGAGUUUGAAUGUACCUGUCUUGAAUAGUCUUUCUGAACAUGAUGAGCUUUUACACAAGUCACAAGCAUAUAAUCAUGCUGUAGAGCGUUACAAAGAACAAAGAAGUAAAGUUUCACGUCUGAAGAAAAAGAUAUCACGCACACAAGGCUUCAGAGAAUACAAGAAGAUCGUAGACAUGGCCAGCUUUACUGAGGAGAAGAUUAAGCGCUUGAAGGGUAGAGCAAGACGUCUGACUAAUCGAAUAGAGCAGAUUGAACCAUCUGGCUGGAAAGAGUUCUUGCAGAUCAGCAAUGUCAUACACGAAACUCGGGCAUUAGAUAUUAACACUCAUACCAUAUUUCCACUUGGUGAAACUGCAGCUGCCAUCCGAGGAGAGAAUGAACUGUGGCUUGCCAUGGUUCUUCGAAAUAAGAUCUUAUUAAGUUUAAAGCCUACAGAACUUGCUGCCGUGUGCGCAAGUUUAGUAUCUGAAGGGAUCAAAAUUCGACCUUGGAAAAAUAACAGCUACAUAUAUGAACCUUCAAGCACAGUAGUCGACGUGGUGAGCUUCUUGGACGAGCAAAGAAGCAGUUUCUUACAGCUCCAAGAAAAGCAUGGGGUAAAUAUACCAUGCUAUUUGGAUACCCAGUUUGCAGGCAUGGUUGAAGCCUGGGUUUCUGGGUUGACAUGGAGGGAGAUCAUGAUGGAUUGUGCAAUGGACGAGGGCGAUUUAGCCCGCCUUCUGCGGCGAACUAUUGAUCUGCUUGUGCAAAUUCCCAAGUUGCCUGAUAUAGACCCCGUCUUGCAGAGCAAUGCAAAGACGGCGUCGAAUAUCAUGGACCGCCCUCCGAUUAGUGAGUUGGCUGGUUGAUCACAUUAUAUUUAACAAAAGGAUAUCAAUUUGCAAACGGUAUGCACUGCAAUACCAUAUCUACAAGAGCAAAAAAACAAUGAAUAAUUGGAUUUUUUUUCAAAAAAAAGAAAAUAAGUUUUAACAAAUGAGGUCCAUAAUAGGGGAUGAACGAUCUUUUCAAGGCAGGCCAUUUUGAUGAGCGAUACAUACAAGAAAUGUAAAAUGCAUAAGAACUAUAUAAAUAAGAUUAAUUAACCCAAAAAAUUGAUGAAUUAAAUGAGCAUCUGAAGUGUACAACACAAAUUACCUCUAUUUACAAGAAAGCGGCUCAAAGUGCCAACUCAAAGUAUAUACUACUUUCGAGCCAUAUCUCCCUCUCUCCUCAUUUCUUUAUUUGGUUGGAGAGGCGGAAAAUAUGAGAAUACAAAGUAAUUCCACAAGAGCUAUUUCGCUCAGCGCCUCAAUUUUUUCCAAAUCUCCGGCACUGGUGCGCAUACAAUGCGUUCAAAUUGCUACUGGAGAACCAAAACAACAUGUUGCACAUAGUUAGAGCUUAACACUAAAGGAAUAUCAGCAUUUUAUACACAUGUUGACGUGUCAAAAUACAAUUAUAAUGUUUCUACUAGUAAUUAGCAAAUAAUAACACAAAUAGAAACCAGAUAAGGCAUACCAUAUAUACUUGAUGGUCAAAAGAAGGCAUAUCAUGAGCCAGAGAGCAAACGGUGAAACCGCUCAACUCUACUUGAACCACUAGAAGACCUAGCCUGGUUAUGGCAGGAAGUGUUCGAAGUUUUUCUUCUCCUUUUUGUUCGAAACAAAAAGUCUUCUGUAUCCAAAACAUAUGAUACCUACAGCAUAUAAAACUCAAAUGGAUCAAGGGAAGCAGAAAAUCAGAUAUUGGAAAAGUUAAUCCGAACAACACCAACACACCACUGGUCACAAAGACAGUAGUUAAUGAAGUACCUUGGAUGAAUGACAAGCUAUUUUACACUCCAGACCAUUGGCGACUUUAAGUCCUUCCAUGGCCUGACAAAUAGCAGACAAAUCAUCACUACUCGCAUAUUUGCGUUUGUUCCUGUAAACAUGAGCUAGCAUUAAUAAUCAUGACCAAUUGACUUCCAAAACUUGGUACGCUUAAAAAAACAGACAAAAUACCUCUUCAAAAAGAUGCCAGACUUCUCUCUUUUGUCAGGAAGAACGGUGAGAAAAUCAUUGUGCAAAUAAGCAGAAAAAUUAGGGUCCAUGGAAACAGCAGUCAUUUCAGGCUUAUCAUUCCCAUAAUCCAUAAGCUGAAUAGACACCCGGGUUGGUGAAGAGAACUGCAAAGGAACGAACCAUGACAACGUAUUCAGGACACAGUUGGAGUUCUAUAAACCUACACAUUCUAUAUAUAAAUAUCAAAGUGACAAUGUAUUGAAGACAUACACAUUCUAUGCGAUAAAUGUUCUCAUCGUGAAGAAGAACACGAGCAUUUUCGUGAUAAACUACAUCCACGAAUCUUCCUGGUUUUCUCGAAUUCUCAAACGCAUAUAGUUGGACAAGUUUAUUAUCCAUCUCAUCCCCAGCGACUGUUUGGAGCUGAAAACAAGUACAUGAAGCAUAAGAUUUAGGGUCAAAAAGAAGGAAAAAUGGAAAGCUGCUUGAAGAACUAGAAGGUUAAGAAAACACACUCACCUGUUUAACAAGCUUGUAGAUCAGCUUGUCUAAUGUGAAAAGAAGAUACGACUGAGUCCCAAUGAUAGCUCGACAAUCAUCCUCAAAUUUUGUAUUAUCAGAAGAACCGUCGAGUAAAUUGUAAAGUGCAUUCAUGAAACUGUACCACAUGAAAUAGAUUCAGAAAAUAUAUACUAAUGACUUCACAGUUACUGAAAACUAGGUAAAGAAGACCAAAGCCCUACCUAGCAUACGAAUCAGUUGUGCUUGUUUCAUUUGAUGCCCGCCACUUUUUCUCCGCUGAUGACGAGUUAAUCUUUGCUGAUUGUAUUCUCUCAUAUAGUGUCUGUCAAAUUAGUGAAAAAUCAGAUACUAAGAUCCCCAAUUAAGUAUUUGUAAGCAAAAUACAUGCUGCGUGUGUUAAAUGACCCUUACUUGGUGAAGCCUAAAAAGUACAUAGAAAGAAUCAUUUCCAUAGAAAAUCCUAGAGUCCUUGUCCUUGUCAAGUAAAGCUGGAGGAACAUGUUUUGCAAGAGGCUUCACAGAAAGUAGAAAACGUUCUGAGUGCGGUAAAGAUGUUCCAUCUCCUUCAACAUCAUGGGCAUCCGCUGUCCCUUCAGCUUCACCUUCACUCUCGGCCUUGGUAUCAUGCUCAUCAUUGUCCCCCUCUUCCUCACGCUCUUCUCGAGAACAUUCCUCUCCCUCACCAGAUUCACUUCCAGAGACAUCACCAUUCUCAGAUGCAUUCUCACUAUCCUCUGAUGAUCUAUGAGCACUUUCCUCACCUUCAUCAUCAGCGUCAGCCUCAUUUUCACCACCUGCAUCUCCACCACAUACUUCUUCUUCCCCAUGUCUGCCUUUAAGUUGCCUGCUGGAAACACAAUCCUUUGGUUUUUGAACAGCCUCUGAACCGGCUUCUCUAUAAUUUGCAAAAUUAUCCUCCUCAAAAUCUCCAUUUGGAGAUAUUUCACCUUCUUCUCUUUCAAUCUUAAAGUUUCUUACAGACUCUUCCACAUAUCUGUGACCUUUGGUGCCUUCUGUGAUUGCUCCAUUUGAGGAUAUAACGGGUCUAGUAGAAUCACCAGCCUGUGAGAUCAGUAAGAACAUAAAUAUUAAGCAUGUAGUUAUCAAAAUUCAAGGCAAGAAAACAACUGACAAAUAGUUCAUGUUCGCCCCCCCCCCCCCCCCCCCAAACCGCAGGACUGAUGAAUGGAAGUAGAGAAUCAGUAAGAUAAGUAGACUUCAAAAAGGUUGACAUUAGACACUGACAUGCAGUGCAUAUGAAUAUGUAACAUACACUUCAAAUGUUCAUAACUUCAUAUAUCUCUCUACCAAAAUCAAAGACACCCUCCACAGUUAAAUAUGUUUUAUAAGACCUUUUAACAUCACAUAUUAAACUAUUGAUUGGUCUUCUAAAUAGUUUCACCAUCCGUACCAGCGGCAACAGUCCAUAAACUAAUAUCAACCAGGCCUAUCCAAACAUGAGGAGUAUUACACUAUUACCACACUGUUAAUCAUAUACCUCUGGUGAAGGUAACUCAACCGCGCCCUCAAGAGUGCCGUUUCCAGGUCUUGAAGGAGUAGGGCUAAGGCCUAGCCAAAAAAAAAAAAGGGAAAGCAUAUCAGAAAUCAAUUCAGAAAUAAAAGGGUAAUAAUAAGAUACAAAACGAAAACAGUUAGCAUGGCAAGAGGGUAAAAUAUAUUUAAACAUUCUGCAAACCUGAUAAUUUGUCCACAUUAGUCCGUCCAUUACUUUGCUCCAAGCCAGUAGCAAGUGAUACAUUAGACAUGACUAAUCUUUCAUUAAAAUUGUCCUGUUUGCUAACUCUGGACACUUCAUCGGCUGUAGAUGCAUUACUUUGCACUUUACCUUGUUGAGAGGUAUUGCAGAAAGCAUCACCCUUACAUGUAGCAUGAUCAAUGUCAUGAGAACUUUCUUCUUUGAGCCCAUUAGCUCCAUUUACUGUCCAAGCUCUUGCAGAGCUUGAUUGUUCAGGUUGAAUACUUUCAUCUCCGUUUCUUGAUGUAUUUACCUGCUUAGAAGUUGUCGUAAUAGCACCCCCAUCAGGACUAUCAUCACUCUCUCCCCCACUCACAGCCCCAUCUUUUACAGCAUGAGAUUUUGGCUUCACAACAUCUUCAGUAUCCUCUGCAACCUGAGGUCGAGGAGGAACACCAAGCACUGGCUCAAGGAAGGUUGUCCAUAUCUUCAUAACUUUGUCCAAUUGUUCGGUUGUGCAAACUUCUCCACAAGAGUAUUUGAUGAGUUGAUAAAGAUCUUCAUGGAUGUCCAGAUCAGGGUACUCAAAUUCCAAAUUUGGAAUAAGAGGUCGUCUAUUUCCAGCAGCAAUAGCAAGAAGAACAUCAUCUUCCUUCCGCUUCUUCUCACUCAUCUCUUUAAUCUCCGCCAAUAAGGCUGCAAAUAUUUGUCCCCGUCCAGGGAGGAAGAGGAGCAAGAAUUAAUUUUUCAAAGUGAAAAGGGCAUUUGCAAACCAAUGGAAGACAGUAGCUUUUAUAAUAUUCCAAAGAGAAAUGGAAGACCAGGCCCUGCUUAACUAAUACAGAAUCACAAUCUGUAUACAUGACAGAGUAUCACAUUUGCAGUAGUUACCUUUGGUGCUUAAGCUCUUUGAGUCCUGUUGCUUGAAGUAAAAGCUACGAUGAUCAAGUGACUUGUGAUAGUUCUUGGCAUAUAUAUCAGCCCAGACUUUGUUAAAAUCAGAGCGACACCUUGCCCACUCUUCUUGCUUUUGCUUCAAGCGCGUUAAUAUAACAGGCAAAGCUAGUGAAGCAUUUUUCAUCAACACGUCCAUCACAUCAAGCCCGUGGUCACCAUAUAAUCGCUCAACGCAUCUUAGAUUCAGAGCUAGAUGAACAAAGAAGAACAAGAAAAAUCAGCAAUCAAACCCAGACCAUGGAUGAAAAUAGGUAUUCCUCAAACAAGUAAAUCAAAGAAACCUGUGAAGUAUUCUUUAAUUUGGAUUGGACUCUCAGUCUUAAUGGUGUUGUUGUUGAUCUUUUCUAAUAGUUCUUCCACACGCUUGGUCGUUACAUUCACAGACUCUAACAGCAUAUCUAAUUCAAACCUGAAAAACAAAAAUCAUAGAUAGAUUAGUUUAUAACCAAAAAUUGGGAAUCCUUUCAAUGCAAUUGGUACCGCAACCGAUAGAAGGAAAAAAAAUAUGUGGAACUAAACCACAAGCACAAACUUAUGACAUCUCAAUUAUAAUUCUCAGAAAGAAAUAGCUUUCAGCAUUUAAGACAAAAAUGGAAACAGAAAAACGGGAAUGACAACAAAACAAAUAAAGAUACAAGUUAUAACGAACGUAAAUAAUGAAAUUUAAGACAGACCUAUCAUCUUCACACCGAAACAGGCUCUCUUCAUACUGGUUUUUGCGCAUGUGUUUAAAAGAAUAAUCCUCGCUUCCAGAAGUAACAGACACCCAAUGAUCAUUUAGUACUUCACAACCAAGCUCUGUUCUUUGGCUAGCAGAAGGUAUUGGAUACUGCAAGAAAGUUACAGAUAUCAGUAAAACAUCAAAUAGUCUUUAAUGUAAAGAUAAGUGUACAUUUAAGGAGGACAGAAAAAGAAACACGUACAUUCUUUGGCAGAAGACGAUAGCUUGGAGUGCAGCGCUCGCAAUUAGAGAGGUCAAGCUCAUUAAUAGGUUUUGCCAAAUAUUUGUCCUUGCUCGAAAAUAUAGACAUCUUCUGGCCUCCAAUUUCUUUAUUUCCAAAGGCACCAUUUCUAUCAGGUCUAUCCCUUUCUCGGUUUUCACGCUCUCUAUCUUUAAUCAUGUCAUCCCUUUCACGAUCUCGAUCUUUAUCCUUAUCCUCUACCUUCACUGGUCUUGGUACAUUGCCUUCAUUCCAUAUAGAUUCUGUGAUGGAUUUAGAUAUUAGUGAUGAUUUGCAAGAACAGAGAUCAAAUCCAGAUAUCAAAAUGCAAUUACAAUUUCUCAGAAAACGUUAACCACCCAAAAUAAAAAUGAUGUUAUGCAGUCCGAACCAGUGUGAUAAACCAAGAGAAUGAUCAAAGUUUUGUGUCUAACAAAAAGGAACAAAUUCUUUUACGUACUUUUACUCAUGACACCAGCAAGGAACCCAUCUGCAGGACAGGACUCAAUUAGAUACAAUGUUAACCACAGUAGAUAGAGCAGGUAACAGAAGAGAGUAGAACUUCACCUUUCUUCUCACAACAUGACAAAAAUUCAUUGAACCCAUCCAUAAGAUCGGGAUAUUUUCCAAUUAAAUCACCCACCUACAUGAGUGAAGAUCUCAAAAUUUAGUGACUGUAUUUUGAUAAGUCUUUUAAAUUAGGAGAUGGUAACACUUAGCAUCAAUAUUAUAUGCAUGUCUUUACCAGAUUCUGCAAUUCAGCUCGGGUAAUAAUCUCCUUGCUAUAAAUAUGGAGGCACUUCAAAAACUCCUGGUAAGCAUCAGGAUUUCGUAGCUUCUCCUUCACCUUCUCACAGAAGGCACUCUCCGAGCCAUAUAUGCCUGACAUGCCAUGCCAUGCAAUAAGUAAAUGAAGCUAUUUGAGAAACAUGAACAAGACCAACAGACACAAAAAUUCAACCGUUCAAAAAAAAAAUCAGGUGGUUAAGUAUAAAAGGAAGAGUAAAGACAACUUAUACUACACUUAACACUGACAGUAAAUCUCAAGUUACACACACACAGCAAUACUCAGCAAUCCAAGUUAUGAGGGCAUUUACACCAUGUUAUACAAAGAAAACAAAGAGUGGAGCUUUCUUGAUAUAUUGAUGGUUUAAAUGCAUUACUUUGUUGAAUAUGAAAGAAAACUCGUUUGUAAACCAGUUCAAAAACAUCAAAAUCCUCACUUUUUGCAGAAUUUUUAUCAUCAUAAGAAGAUGAAAUGAGAUGUGCUCCAAGGUUUUCGACGUCUUCCCCACCUUGGUGCAACUGGUCAGUAGCCAAGUCUUCACCCCUACGAGUAGAUUUUCGUUUGUGUGGAAAACGCUGCAUGUUGAAGUCCCUGCUGCCAUCAUGGUCAAAAUCCCUAUCGUCUCGUCUUUCUCUAUCUUCUCUCCUCUCCUUUUCUUUUUCACUGCGCCUCCUUUGCUCUUUCUCAACCUUCAUCAAAGCCCUAUCAUGGUCCAGAUCAGGGCGGUCAACACUGAGAUCAUGCUCAGGGUAAGAACCCACGGGCCUUUCUUUCUGGCAACAGCACAUGUAGCCUAUGUUAAAAAAAUUGAUGCAGGUACAGAUACGAGAGAGAGAGAGAGAGAGAGAGAGAGAGAGAGAGAGAGAAUUAGACAUGAAAAUGUGAAACUCAAAGUAGAAAUAAACCUUGUCAACAAGCAUUUGCCGCAUAGGGGGCAUGGCAGAGCUCCUAUCACGAAGCAUCGAGUUUCUUUGAGAUGGAGCAACCUGGAUUGAGGCCGUUCCUGUUGUAUCAGGUAAAAAGUGAGUGAACUCACCAAGCAAGUCUGGGUGGUCUUGGAAAAGUGCUGAGACCUGAAAUAAGUAAGAUGAAUUUGCGAAAACAUGAGUGCAUGAAAAGACCAAGGAAAGAAACUCUAUACAAAAACAAAGCACUAAAACACACCUCCUGGUAAACUUCUGAGAUGGACUUGUUUUCCUUUCUGUACAUAUUCAGAAUGUCCAAAAAGGAUUUAUAAACAUGAUCAUCAUGUUGAAAUCGUGUCUGCAGGUAAAGAAUUCAUGGGGUUAAAAAAUCUUCAAAGGGAACCUGUAACCUCAAAUUUAGCUAUGAAAUAAUGUUCCCACCUUAAUCUUGUUCACAAAACUAAUAGCUUCCUCAAAUUCAACAGGCUUCUUAUGAGGAGGUUGUUCAUCCUCCGGAGGGAGAGUGAUCUCAUAUCCCUUCGGCAAGAAGGUAUUAAAACCUAAUAUUAGGUCUCGAUGCCCUUUAAAUAAAUCCUUCACCCUCUGUAUCACACCCGAGGUGUCAACUCUACAAUCAACACAGCACACAUCAAUACACAAUAAGGUCAUGUAAGAAAAUGUAAACUCUCCUUGCAUUAACAUAUUCAUUGUCUUAACCUUUGAGCUUUGAAGUCCUUCAUGACUUCAAGAAAGUCUUCGUAUUUCUCCUUGUUGUUUUCAAAUAUCUCCUUCACCGCCUUCAGAUAUGACAAGGCAUCGUUCGUUGUUAGCUUCUGUGAAGCUGUUGAUGUAAUCAUCUGGGGCUGCCCCGAGCUUCACCACCAAAAAAAAAAAAAUAUCACAAAUUAGUCUAAUGCGCAAGUAUCCUCUAAAACAAGAAGUAAUGCCUGCAAACAUGACCAGCCUCACUCCACAACUCAGAAACACUGAAACCAAAGCUUCUGCGACCUUCACACACCAACUCUAAUUUUGCUUACCAAGCCAAAAACGAAAGGAAUUAACCAAUUUCAAGUUAACCUAGCACCGAUUCUCCGGCUAUACAAAACUAGAUUAACAACUACAGUGAGUGAUAAACAUGUUAAUUUUCAACGAAUUAAAACCAAAACCACCGAGCACAGACUCAUCGAAUCAAACCGAAAUUUCACUCUCGUUAACAAAAUUAACCACAAGCAACAAAAAUUCACAGCAAGUCAAAAAUCGAGAGAAACUCUUACGGCUCUCCUCGAGAAGUAACCAUAGGGCGUUUAACUUGCGAGCUUAUAUAACCGUCGUCGCGAGACCUCUUCAUCUUCUUCGCCGCUCUCCAACCUCUAAAUCAUGCCUCCAACUCCGAUUCAAACCCGAACCGAUUCCUAACCGAAAUCAAACUCGCUCAUUCCAAGCACAAAGCAGAUCUAAAAAAACCGAAGCACAAAAUUUACAGCACAGUAAAAAAAUCCAUACCGGCGAGAAUUCCAAUCGCUCAGCUCCGAGCAGAGAUCACCUCGCCGGAGCCGAAAUCCUAAACCGCAGAAGCAAAAAGAGGCUCAGCAACUAGAGAAAUUUUACUUGGAGAUAAAGCAAUGCUAGGGGAAAAUUGCAGUGAAGAAUCGAGAGUUUUUACCGAGGAGGAUCGGUAAGUCGUCGAAUUAAGGCGAAGUCUUCAACUGGAAGAAAUGGAAGUGAUGGUGGCUGUUGGAUUAUGGUGAUGCUUCUUCUUCUAUAUUGGAGAAGAAGAAGAAGAAGAGCCGAAAAAAUCAAAAAGAAAAUUUAUGAAAGUUUUCUACCUACUUUUUUGUCNCUUUUAUCUUUCUCUCUCUGAUUCUAAUUCUAUGAGAGAAAUUACACAAACAGAAAACGACAGCGAGCGAGAGAGAGAGAGAGAGGGAGAGAGAGUUUUACAAAAUGUGGUUUAUAUAUUGUGGGGGGAUGUGUAUAUAAAUAUAAGCACUGGGCUAAACACAGUGGUGUAGGGGAAAAUUUGGGAGAGAGCAGUGGACUUACGGUUAUCUCCCCGGUCACAUUUUUUGUUAGUUGUGUAAUGAAUUUAUUUUAUAAUUUAGUAUUUUUUUAUUUACUAGAGAUACAUAAAUAUAUAAUUUUAUUUACCGUGUUAGAUAUUCAGUUUUUGAGUUUUACCGUAUCGUUGUGUUCAUGUGACAGAGCUCGGAGCCUUGGAGGAAAGUAAACUAGGGUUUUUGUGGUGGUGAAUAUGGGGAUUGUGUGGGGGUAUAUGAGUCAUGUUGUUCAAAAAUUGGUGAUGAGUACGGGGAGGUGAUGUGUGUGUAAAAUUUGAGGCGUGCAUUUGUCUUUUGGCAAUUUAGGGAAUUAGGGUUAGGGCAAAGCUGGUGGAUUUUUCCCCUUUCUACUUUUUUGGGUCUGUGAUUUUUGGGUUACUUGGUGUAAUUGGUUUAUAGUGCUAUUUGAUGUAUGUGGGAGUUUGGUUUGUUAUGGGACUAUUGAGGGAAUGAGGGGUGAGAGUGGUUGGUUUUUCUAGAUCAUGGUUUGUUGUGAUGAAAUUGCAGAGGAUUAGGGAGAGGGAUUUAGCUUGGAAAUCAAUUCUCCGAUGAUGAUGAUCUAAAUUGUGGCUAGGAUUGGAUUAUUGGAAAGUAUAAAGUGAUGGGCUUGUUACUUUGGAUGGCUUUGCUUAUAAGCCUAACAUUGUAGUUGAAGUCCCAAAAUGAAAGGAUAGGGUUCGGGGUGAAGCCCAAGAAAGUGAUCAUGGAUUUGAGGUCCAAAGGAAGACAUGGAUAGUCACGUGGAGGAUGAGUUAGGCUUUUGGGACAAAGAAAGAGAUGAACUAAAGCCCUGUUGGGAAGUGGUUUAUGUAGUUGCACAAGUGACAAGUGGUUUUGUCUUUUUUAAAACACCCCCUCCCUCUUCAUUGGGCUUUCCAUAGCUACUUUAUGCACUUGGAUCCGUUUUUCCUGUGGUGGUUUCUGGUGGGGAGUAUGGCAUGGUCUUAGUACUAUAGACCAACAAAUUGAGAAAGGCCUAAAUGCACUUUAGUUGGAUUUUUCUCUUUUCGGUGUUAUGAAAAUACGUUUCGUAUUAUUUUCGCCCACAAUGUCGAAUAAAGUUUUGAGUUCAAAGCAGGGGCGGAUCCAAGUUAUAACAACCUGGGACUCAAGUCUCACCCAAAUAUUUUGAAGAAAAAAAUUACUUGCAUAUAGGUGUCUUGCUUUCUCUUUAUCAUAUCUUGAUUGCAAGGUUUUUGUCCGGCCUAAGUCCCACUUUAGCCCACUCCAGUUGCCCAACUAAUGUUUCAUUUGUUUUUUUUGUUGUUUUUUUUUUAUUAAUUUUUUUUUUUUUGUUUUUUGUUUUGUUUUUUUUUUUAUAAAAAGAGGGAUCCCUAUUCAAAAAAUAAAAUAAAAAGAGGGAUAAAUCAACCAUAUAGAUAAGAAGUAAAGUCUAAAACUUUAGACCAAAGAAGAAGUCCAAAACUCGUCUCUCUCUUAGGGUUGAGUGAUUGAAUUAACACUAAAUUUCAUCCUUUUUUCUGACACUUUCAAGCCUGAAGGUAGUUCCAUCCCUGAUUAGUCUUCAUCACAUUUGUAAAUAUUUAGUGAGAUGCAUUACAUCUAUAUAUUUUGAAUUACAUUGACAUGUUAUUUAGCUUCUUUUAUGUUACAUAUACAGAGUUUACAUAUGUUGUUUUGUAUAAGCAUGCAUUCAAGGGGCAAGACUCACUAUGGCCCUUUGUCUAUGUGCAUACUUUUUCUCUCACGUGCCGUCGAGCAUUUUUUUUUUAGUGAAAAUUCAAGUCCCACCCGGUUUGAAUUCCUGGAUCCGCCCCUGGUUCAAAGGUACGUGUGAACAUAAAAUGGUAUCUUAGGGUCGAGUAGUCCGUCUUUCUGAAGGUUUAAUGUUAUUUUCUGCAUCAAUGUUUGUUGUUAGGGAAUGUGGCGGGAAUGGUAACAUAAAAUUUUGGCGCGAUUAAUGCACUAACUGUUAAAAUAAGAUGUUGAUAACAACAUAACAUUUUGGUGUGAACAAGUAAUACCGUUAGAAUAAGUGGCGGGGAUAACAACAGGACAUUUGGCACGAAAGUUAAUGUCCAUCGACAUAUAUGAUGUAGAUGAUAACUAAAUAUUUUGGGGCGAAUAAAAAUAUUGAACGUUAAAGACCAUAACAGGAAUGAAAAGGGAAAAAUUUAGCAUUGACAUGGGUGUUUACCAUUAGAAAUGUGAAAAUGUUUGUUUUCACGAAUAUAUGGCUAGAGAGGAAAAUUGGAUAGAAAAUGGAUAGGGUAUAUAAUUUUGUGUUGAAGGCUGGCUGAACCGUUAUAAUUAUUUCCCAUUUUCUUCAUACAAUUAGAGCCAGGUAUAUACAUGGACUGACAUAUUA
rnacentral:lncRNA from 1 species